rnacentral:rRNA from 1 species
GUUGAUCCCGCUGGAGGUUACUGCUAUUAGGAUCCGAAUAAGACAUGCAAGUCAGAGUAGCAAUACUCGGCGUAAGGCUCAGCAACACGUAGUUAAUCUGCCCUUAGAUAGAGGAUAACCUCGGGAAACUGAGGAUAAUACUCUAUAGGAAGAAAGAUCUGGAACGCCUUUCUUCUCAAAGCUUCGGCGUCUAAGGAUGAGACUGCGGCUGAUUAGGCUGUUGGUGGUGUAAUGGACCACCAAACCUAUGAUCAGUACGGGCCAUGAGAGUGGUAGCCCGGAGAGGGGGACUGAGACAAGGCCCCCAGCCCUACGGGGUGCAGCAGUUACGAGAACUUUACAAUGCACGAAAGUGUGAUAGGGGGAUCCUAAGUGAUAUAGGUUAUGCUUAUAUCUGUGGAGAAGUGUAAAUUACUUUUCAAGAAAGGGGUGGGCAAUACCGGUGCCAGCAGCCGCGGUAAUCCCGGAGCCCCGAGUGGUGACCAUGUUUAUUGGGCCUAAAGCGCCCGUAGCCGGAUUAAUAAGUUCUCGGUGAAAUUGUUUAGCUUAACUAAACGAAUUGCCUUGAAUACUGUUAGUCUAGGGAUUGGGAGAGGUCAAGAGUAUGCCUGGGGGAGGGGUAAAAUCCUUUAAUCCUGGGUAGACUACCAAUGGCGAAGGCACUUGACUAGAACAAGCCCGACGGUGAGGGACGAAAGUUAGGGUAGCAAACGGGAUUAGAUACCCCGGUAGUCCUAACUGUAAACGCUGCCCGUUGGGUGUUGCGAAUACUUCGAGUUUUCGCAGUGCCGUAGUGAAGACGAUAAACGGGCCGCCUGGGGAGUACGGUCGCAAGGCUGAAACUUAAAGGAAUUGGCGGGGGAGUACACAAGAGGGGGGACUUGCGGUUUAAUUGGAUUCAACGCCGGAAAUCUCACCAAGGGCGACAGCAGGAUGGAGGCCAGAUUAAAGGUCUUGCCUAACGCGCUGAGAGGAGGUGCAUGGCCGUCGGAAGUUCGUGUCGUGAGAUGUCCUGUUAAGUCAGGCAACGAACAAGACCUACGCUAUUAUUUGCCCAGCUGGCUUCGGCCUCGCUAGCACAAUAAUAGGACUGCAUUUGUUAAAAAUGAGGAAGGUGUAGGCCACGGUAGGUCAGUAUGCCCCGAAUCCCUUGGGCCACACGCGAGUCACAAUGGAUGGGACAAUAAGCUGCUACUCCGAAAGGAGACGCAAAUCUCUAAACCCAUUCUCAGUCCGGAUUGAGGGUUGUAACUCACCCUCAUGAAGAUGGACUCUCUAGUAACCGUGAUCCAUUCAUUCACGGUGAAUGCGUCCCUACUCCUUGCACACACCGCCUGGCAAGCCACUCGAAUCGGCUUCGGGUGAGGAUCAUUCUAACUGUUUGAUUCGAACCCGAGGUUGGUAAGAAGGGUUAAGUCAACACAAGGUA